rnacentral:rRNA from 1 species
UGAACGCUGGCGGUAUGCUUAACACAUGCAAGUCGAACGGAAACGAUACUAGCUUGCUAGUAGGCGUCGAGUGGCGGACGGGUGAGUAACGCGUAGGAAUCUGCCUGAUAGUGGGGGAUAGCCCGAAGAAAUUCGGAUUAAUACCGCAUAAUCUAUUCGUAGUAAAGUGGGGGACUUUCGAGCCUCACGCUAUCAGAUGAGCCUGCGUAAGAUUAGUUUGUUGGUGGGGUAAAAGCCCACCAAGGCGACGAUCUUUAGCUGGUCUGAGAGGAUGAUCAGCCACAUCGGGACUGAGACACGGCCCGAACUCCUACGGGAGGCAGCAGUGGGGAAUAUUGGACAAUGGGGGCAACCCUGAUCCAGCAAUACCGCGUGUGUGAAGAAGGCCUGAGGGUUGUAAAGCACUUUCAAUUGUGAAGAAAAGUUAGCGGUUAAUAACCGUUAGCCUUGACGUUAACUUUAGAAGAAGCACCGGCUAACUCCGUGCCAGCAGCCGCGGUAAUACGGAGGGUGCAAGCGUUAAUCGGAAUUACUGGGCGUAAAGCGUGCGUAGGCGGUUUAUUAAGUCAGAUGUGAAAGCCCCGGGCUUAACCUGGGAACUGCAUUUGAAACUGGUCAACUAGAGUAUGGUAGAGGAAAGUGGAAUUUCUGGUGUAGCGGUGAAAUGCGUAGAUAUCAGAAGGAACAUCAAUGGCGAAGGCAGCUUUCUGGACCAAUACUGACGCUGAGGUACGAAAGCGUGGGUAGCAAACAGGAUUAGAUACCCUGGUAGUCCACGCCGUAAACGAUGAUAACUAGCCGUUGGGGGGAUUUACCCUUUAGUGGCGAAGCUAACGCGUUAAGUUAUCCGCCUGGGGAGUACGGCCGCAAGGUUAAAACUCAAAGGAAUUGACGGGGACCCGCACAAGCGGUGGAGCAUGUGGUUUAAUUCGAUGCAACGCGAAGAACCUUACCUGGUCUUGACAUCCUGCGAACUUUCUAGAAAUAGAUUGGUGCCUUCGGGAACGCAGUGACAGGUGCUGCAUGGCUGUCGUCAGCUCGUGUCGUGAGAUGUUGGGUUAAGUCCCGUAACGAGCGCAACCCCUAUCCUUAUUUGCCAGCACAUCAUGGUGGGAACUAUAAGGAGACUGCCGGUGAUAAACCGGAGGAAGGCGGGGACGACGUCAAGUCAUCAUGGCCCUUACGACCAGGGCUACACACGUGCUACAAUGGGAAGGACAAAGAGCCGCGAAGCCGCGAGGUGUAGCUAAUCUCAUAAACCUUUUCGUAGUCCGGAUUGGAGUCUGCAACUCGACUCCAUGAAGUCGGAAUCGCUAGUAAUCGUAGAUCAGAAUGCUACGGUGAAUACGUUCCCGGGUCUUGUACACACCGCC